rnacentral:lncRNA from 1 species
AUGGCCCCCUCUCUCCGUCACUGCAGCGUCGGUGCUGUAGUGGCAGGAGCAGCAGAUGGAGCAGAUGUUAGUGUCAAUGCUCGGCAUGUGUGCAGAGAUGCAGCAUUUCUCCACCCACCCACACACUGUCUCCUCAGACACACUGCUUGCCUCCUGCUCUCUGACGCUCUCAGACUCCCUGCAAAGGAGCUGUCCGCUGGUCCCGCUGCACUGCUAUGACUGUGAGCUCCUGAAGAAUUCUCUCUUUUAAAAACGAUUCGCCAUCCUUCUU